AUGAAACUGCCCACCGAGCGCGCCGACGACGGCGACGAGGGCGCGGCCGGCCCGGGGCCGCCAGCGCCGCCGCCGCCCCCCGCGCGGCCACUCCGGAACAGCCGCUUGCUGAACGAGCGCUUCUCCUUCCCGCCCGCCGCCACCGGCGGCCCGGGCCCGGGCGCCGUUACCUUGGACAUGGCGGCGGUUGCCGACGCUCAUCACCGCGCCAGUCCGCCCGGACCGCGACUCCGCCACGGCCGCCGCCGCAUCCCGCCGCCUGCGCCUCACCCGGCCCGGGGGGCUUCACGCCCUACACCACCUCAGAGCGCCGCGGAGAGAGCGAGCAAGAGAGCGGCGACCGAGGGGCGCGCGUGCGUCGCGCGGCCGCCCAAGUGGGCAGCUCACGUGACUCGCUGGCAUCGCAGCCCCGCCCCGCACUGAAGCUGCGAGGCCGCCAUAUUGACUGUGGGAACAGCUCUCUCCCUGAACCCUGAUUCAAGAACUCCCUCGGCUCAGGGCGUGGUUCUGCGUGUUGAAGCUCAAGACUGGCCAUGUUUAGUAUGGGCACGGUCCUGAACGCUAGGGCAGGCGCUGGAUGGUGGAUUUUAGGGGUGGGUCUCCGUCUUUGCUUGUCAAAUAGAAAAGAUCUAGAGAAAGUACUGAAAUCAAGCUGCCACGUACCAGGUGGUAGAGGAGCUGAUAGAUACAGCUUUGUCUUGUCCCAGGCGAGUUAACUCAGCCUGGCCACCCGAACGUGGUCACGGAGCUGGCACAUUCUGGUGGGCUUUUCUUUCAGGAUGUACCUUGAGGUCUCAGCAAAGUAAUAUUAUUAGAAUUGCCUUGCUGAAAAGUUUUGUAAAAUACAGCCUUUAAAUCCUCUGAGCUCUCCCUUUAAUCACUCAAUACACUGAGCAUUUACUCAUUCGUUCAUUCAA
ensembl:antisense 1700069B07Rik RIKEN cDNA 1700069B07 gene